CUUCGAAUCGAUAAAAAAAAAAACAAUCCGUUGCCAAAAAAAAAAAACGAAAAAAAAGAGGACCAAACAAGCCGCCAGCUGGGCCGUUCUGCGGGUAUAGAGAAGUGAAGCGAAGAAGCGAUUUGGAGCUCUUUCAUUAAGCUGGUAAACGAGAUUCCGAGGAAUCAGCGAAAUCCUGACUGCAGAAGGGCUGCGAACGGAGGCCUCGAGACAUCGUUCCCAUGAGCGAGAUGGGUCAAUACCACGCUCCGAGAACUCUCUGGCAAGACGUGAUCGGUAAACAUUGCCCUGUAUUUGCUGUUAAUCGCGAGGUGUUGAUCCCGAUACCAAAACCGGCAGAUUAUACGGGUACUGAUCCAGACAAAAUAGGUACUCAGGGAGCAUUCUACACGGGGUCACUGCAAAAGUUGUCGACAUGCCUUACCACUCCAUAAUUGUUUUUCUAUAAAGCUUUUUGAUCUGCACAAGCUAUGCAAAGCAUGUUCUUGCUAUUGAUUGUCCUGGCUUAUUAAAAUCCAUCCAAAUAUUCUUAAGCAAUUCUGGGACCCUCAACAUUGGCCUAAGCAUGUUCUUGUAAGGUAAACAUGGGAGGAACAAUCAGAGAUAGAUGUUACUUCUGGAUUCUAUGUCUUGUUUGGGUCAGUUAAUUAUUUCUGCUCAAACUGAAAGCAGCAGGGUUGAUGUUGUCUUUCAUUCUCUCAAUCUGUAUCUUGCAGUCAUCACGAGACAAAUUAGCAAGGUUUGUAAGGGAGACCGUUGCAGAAAGCAAAAUUCCUGCCGGAGGAGUGGCAAAAGUUGAAUAGGGAACUUUCAAAAGUUUCAACACAUUACAUGCACAAAUACAAUCAGUACCUCCUGAGAUCUGAAUAUUUAUGUGAAAGAGAAAUUUACAUCCUCUGGGCUUCAAGGAAACUUACAAGCUGAUAGAAGUGACAAAUAGGCUAUUAGCAAGAGUAGUUUGGUUAUUGUAGUGUGUUCAAUAGGUGAAUGCAUUCUGGCGUGCAAGAAAUAGUUUACAUACGCCAGGAAUUUAUUGGGCCUCAAUUUUGCACUCUUGUAGUAUGGUGGUGUUUUUCAUACUCGAAAAACUUGGUUUUUCAUUGGCUUCAA